UCCGGCUUAUCACCGGCAGUCCCUCUAGAGUGCCCAACUUAAUGAUGGCAACUAAAGGCGAGGGUUGCGCUCGUUGCGGGACUUAACCCGACAUCUCACGAUACGAGCUGACGACAGCCAUGCAGCACCUGUCUCACUGUCCCCGAAGGGAAAACCGUAUCUCUACGGCUGUCAGUGGAUGUCAAGUCCAGGUAAGGUUCUUCGCGUUGCAUCGAAUUAAACCACAUGCUCCACCGCUUGUGCGGGCCCCCGUCAAUUCCUUUGAGUUUUAAUCUUGCGACCGUACUUCCCAGGCGGAAUGCUUAAUCCGUUAGGUGUGUCACCGAAUAGCAUGCUACCCGACGACUGGCAUUCAUCGUUUACGGCGUGGACUAC
rnacentral:misc_RNA from 1 species